UUGGAGGGCAAGUCUGGUGCCAGCAGCCGCGGUAAUUCCAGCUCCAAUAGCGUAUAUUAAAGUUGUUGCAGUUAAAAAGCUCGUAGUUGAAUUUCGGGAUCAGUACGCUGGUCGUGCCUUUGGUAUGUACUGGUGUCACUGAUUCCUCCCUUCUGAAGAACCGUUAUGCCAUUUAUUUGGUGUGGCGGGAAAUCAGGACUGUUACUUUGAAAAAAUUAGAGUGUUUAAAGCAGGCUCGCGCCUGAAUACAUUAGCAUGGAAUAAUGAAAUAGGACGUUUGAUCUUAUUUUGUUGGUUUCUAGGAUCGACGUAAUGAUUAAUAGGGAUAGUUGGGGGCAUUAGUAUUCAAUUGUCAGAGGUGAAAUUCUUGGAUUUAUUGAAGACUAACUACUGCGAAAGCAUUUGCCAAGGAUGUUUCAUUAAUCAAAGAACGAAAGUUAGGGGAUCGAAGACGAUCAGAUACCGUCGUAGUCUUAACCAUAAACUAUGCCGACUAGGGGAUCGGGAUGA
rnacentral:rRNA from 1 species